rnacentral:rRNA from 1 species
UGGGGAAUAUUGGACAAUGGGCGAAAGCCUGAUCCAGCCAUGCCGCGUGUGUGAAGAAGGUCUUCGGAUUGUAAAGCACUUUAAGUUGGGAGGAAGGGCAUUAACCUAAUACGUUAGUGUUUUGACGUUACCGACAGAAUAAGCACCGGCUAACUCUGUGCCAGCAGCCGCGGUAAUACAGAGGGUGCAAGCGUUAAUCGGGAUUACUGGGCGUAAAGCGCGCGUAGGUGGUUUGUUAAGUUGGAUGUGAAAGCCCCGGGCUCAACCUGGGAACUGCAUCCAAAACUGGCAAGCUAGAGUACGGUAGAGGGUGGUGGAAUUUCCUGUGUAGCGGUGAAAUGCGUAGAUAUAGGAAGGAACACCAGUGGCGAAGGCGACCACCUGGACUAAUACUGACACUGAGGUGCGAAAGCGUGGGGAGCAAACA